rnacentral:rRNA from 1 species
GACGAACGCUGGCGGCGUGCCUAAUACAUGCAAGUCGAGCGGGCGGAAGGGGAGCUUGCUCUCUGGAAGCCAGCGGCGGACGGGUGAGUAACACGUGGGCAACCUGCCCGGCAGACCGGGAUAACGCCUGGAAACGGGUGCUAAUACCGGAUAGGCACAGGGGGCGCAUGCACUUUGUGGGAAAGGCGCUAAGGCGCCACUGCCGGAUGGGCCCGCGGCGCAUUAGCUAGUUGGUGGGGUAACGGCCCACCAAGGCGACGAUGCGUAGCCGGCCUGA